rnacentral:rRNA from 1 species
GACGAACGCUGGCGGCGUGCCUAAUACAUGCAAGUAGGACGCAGUUGCGAACGGGUGAGUAACGCGUAGGUAACUACCUAUUAGAGGGGGAUAACUAUUGGAAACGAUAGCUAAUACCGCAUACUAGUAGAUGGACCUGGGUUGUAUUAGCUAGUAGGUAGGGUAAUGGCCUACCUAGGCAACGAAUCAUAGCCGACUCGGGAAGGGUGUCGGCCCACCCGGGACUGGAACACGGCCCAGACCCCUACGGGAGGCAGCAGGAGGGAAUCUUCGGCAAUGGGGGGAAACCUGACCGAGCAACGCCGCGUGAGUGAAGAAGGGUUUCGGAUCGUAAAGCUCUGUUGUUAAGGAAGCGGUACUUAACCAGAAAGGGACGGCUAACUACGUGCCAGCAGCCGCGGUAAUUC